rnacentral:rRNA from 1 species
UACGUAGGGGGCGAGCGUUGUCCGGAGUUACUGGGCGUAAAGGGCAUGCAGGCGGUCGGACGCGUUUCGGGUGACAGCGGGUGGCUUAACUACCCGAGUGGUCGAAAGACGGUUUGACUUGAGGACGCGAGAGGGACACGGAAUUCCGGGUGGAGUGGUGAAAUGCGUAGAGAUCCGGAGGAACACCGAAGGCGAAGGCAGGUCUCUGGGCCACUACUGACGCUGAGAAGCGAAAGCAUGGGGAGCGAACAGG